CCUACGGGAGGCUGCAGUGGGGAAUAUUGCACAAUGGGGGAAACCCUGAUGCAGCGACGCCGCGUGAGUGAAGAAGUAUUUCGGUAUGUAAAGCUCUAUCAGCAGGGAAGAAAAUGACGGUACCUGAUUAAGAAGCCACGGCUAACUACGUGCCAGCAGCCGAGGUAAUACGUAGGGGGCAAGCGUUAUCCGGAUUUACUGGGUGGAAAGGGAGGGUAGACGGCAGCACAAGUCUGGAGUGGAAUGCCGGGGCUUAACCCCGGAACUGCUUUGGAAACUGUGCAGCUAGAGUGCAGGAGAGGUAAGUGGAAUUCCUAGUGUAGCGGUGAAAUGCGUAGAUAUUAGGAGGAACACCAGUGGCGAAGGCGGCUUACUGGACUGUAACUGACGUUGAGGCUCGAAAGCGUGGGGAGCAAACAGGAUUAGAUACCCUUGUAGUC
rnacentral:rRNA from 1 species